GUGGGGAAUCUUCCGCAAUGGACGAAAGUCUGACGGAGCAACGCCGCGUGAGUGAUGACGGCCUUCGGGUUGUAAAGCUCUGUGAUCGGGGACGAAUGGCUGGUAUGCUAAUACCAUAUCAGAGUGACGGUACCCGAAUAGCAAGCCACGGCUAACUACGUGCCAGCAGCCGCGGUAAUACGUAGGUGGCAAGCGUUGUCCGGAAUUAUUGGGCGUAAAGCGCGCACAGGCGGCUUCUUAAGUCCAUCUUAAAAGUGCGGGGCUGAACCCAGUGAUGGGAUGGAAACUGGGAGGCUGGAGUAUCGGAGAGGAAAGUGGAAUUCCUAGUGUAGCGGUGAAAUGCGUAGAGAUUAGGAAGAACACCGGUGGCGAAGGCGACUUUCUGGACGACAACUGACGCUGAGGCGCGAAAGCGUGGGGAGCAAACAGGAUUAGAUACCCCUGUAGUCC
rnacentral:rRNA from 1 species